rnacentral:rRNA from 1 species
GACGAACGCUGGCGGCGUGCUUAACACAUGCAAGUCGAACGGAAAGGCCCUGCUUUUGUUGGUUGCUCGAUUGGCGAACGGGUGAGUAACACGUGAGUAACCUGCCCUUGACUUUGGGAGAACUUCAGGAAACUGGGGCUAAUACCGGAUAUGAGCUCCUGCUGCAUGGUGGUGGUUGGAAAGUUUCGGCGGUUGGGGAUGGACUCGCGGCUUAUCAGCUUGUUUGUGGGGUAGUGGCUUACCAAGGCUUUGACGGGUAGCCGGCCUGAGAGGGUGACCGGCCACAUUGGGACUGAGAUACGGCGCAGAAUCCUACGGGAGGCAGCAGUGGGGAAUCUUGCACAAUGGGCGGAAGCCUGAUGCGGCAACGCCGCGUGCGGGAUGACGGCCUUCGGGUUGUAAACCGCUUUCGACUGUGACGAAGCGUGAGUGACGGUAAUGGGUAAAGAAGCACCGGCUAACUACGUG